rnacentral:rRNA from 1 species
UACGUAGGCAGCAAGCGUUGUUCGGAGUUACUGGGCGUAAAGGGUGUGUAGGCGGUUGUUUAAGUUUGGUGUGAAAUCUCCCGGCUCAACUGGGAGGGUGCGCCGAAUACUGAAUGACUAGAGUGCGGGAGAGGAAAGUGGAAUUCCUGGUGUAGCGGUGAAAUGCGUAGAUAUCGGGAGGAACACCUGUGGCGAAAGCGGCUCACUGGACCAUAACUGACGCUGAUGCACGAAAGCUGGGGGAGCAAACAGG